GGACCAUCAUGUCGGUCGUGCCUCGGUACGUACUGGUAUUGUUGGUUUCUCACUUCUGACGAACCAUGAUGUCAUUUAUAUGUUGUUGUGGGAAAUCAGGACUGUUACUUUGAAAAAAUUAGAAUGUUUAAAGCAGGCUCACGCUUGAAUACAUUAGCAUAGAAUCAUGAAAUAGGACGUUUGAUUCUAUUUUGUUGGUUUCUAGGAUCGACGUA
rnacentral:rRNA from 1 species